AUUGAACGCUGGCGGCAUGCCUUACACAUGCAAGUCGAACGGCAGCGGGCCUUCGGGUGCCGGCGAGUGGCGAACGGGUGAGUAAUGCAUCGGAACGUGCCAUUGAGUGGGGGAUAACGUAGCGAAAGUUGCGCUAAUACCGCAUAUUCUGUGAGCAGGAAAGCAGGGGACCGCAAGGCCUUGCGCUCUUUGAGCGGCCGAUGUCAGAUUAGCUAGUUGGUGAGGUAAAGGCUUACCAAGGCGACGAUCUGUAGCGGGUCUGAGAGGAUGAUCGCCACACUGGAACUGAGACACGGUCCAGACUCCUACGGGAGGCAGCAGUGGGAAUUUGGACAAUGGGGCAACCCUGAUCCAGCCAUGCCGCGUGAGUGAAGAAGGCCUUCGGUU
rnacentral:rRNA from 1 species